GAUGAAGAACGCAGCGAAAUGCGAUAAGUAAUGUGAAUUGCAGAAUUCAGUGAAUCAUCGAAUCUUUGAACGCACAUUGCGCCCGCCAGUAUUCUGGCGGGCAUGCCUGUCCGAGCGUCAUUUCAACCCUCGAACCCCUCCGGGGGGUCGGCGUUGGGGAUCGGCCCCUCACCGGGCCGCCCCCGAAAUCCAGUGGCGGUCUCGCCGCAGCCUCUCCUGCGCAGUAGUUUGCACACUCGCACCGGGAGCGCGGCGCGGUCACAGCCGUAAAACACCCCAAACUCUGAAAUGUUGACCUCGGAUCAGGUAGGAAUACCCGCUGAACUUAAGCAUAUCAAUAAGCGGAGGA
rnacentral:misc_RNA from 1 species